rnacentral:rRNA from 1 species
UACGUAGGGGGCUAGCGUUGUCCGGAAUCAUUGGGCGUAAAGAGCGUGUAGGCGGCCCGGUAAGUCCGCUGUGAAAGUCGGGGGGCUCAACCCUCGGAUGCCGGUGGAUACUGUCGGGCCGAGUACGGAAGAGGCGAGUGGAACUCCUGGUGUAAGCGGUGGAAUGCGCAGAUAUCAGGAAGAACACCGACGGCGAAGGCAGCUCGCUGGGACGGUACUGACGCUGAGGCGCGAAAGCGUGGGGAGCGAACAGG